UGGGGAAUUUUGGACAAUGGGCGAAAGCCUGAUCCAGCAAUGCCGCGUGUGUGAAGAAGGCCUUCGGGUUGUAAAGCACUUUUGUCCGGAAAGAAAUCCUUGGCUCUAAUACAGUCGGGGGAUGACGGUACCGGAAGAAUAAGCACCGGCUAACUACGUGCCAGCAGCCGCGGUAAUACGUAGGGUGCAAGCGUUAAUCGGAAUUACUGGGCGUAAAACGUGCGCAGGCGGUUUGCUAAGACCGAUGUGAAAAUCCCCGGGCUCAACCUGGGAACUGCAAUUGGUGACUGGCAGGCUAGAGUAUGGCAGAGGGGGGUAGAAUUCCACGUGUAGCAGUGAAAUGCGUAGAGAUGUGGAGGAAUACCGAUGGCGAAGGCAGCCCCC
rnacentral:rRNA from 1 species